rnacentral:ribozyme from 1 species
CAAAAUUACAAAUGAACAAUAAAAAAAUAAAAAGAAAAAGAAAAAGUGAUGAUGUAAAUAGUGACGCAAAACUUCUUCUUCAUAUUGUUGUUCGCUUUUCUUUUCUUUUUGUUUUUUU